AUUACAGCAGCAGUUACACUGGAACACUACGCCAUGAUGAAUGUCUUCUCUAAGGGACAAGAACAAAGGAUUAAGCAAAAUAGGUGAGUUUCUUUACAUUACAAUUUCAUAUAAAUUGUUUAGAUAAUAUAUUGAAGUAGAAGUAUUUGAUAACAGUUAAAAUUGUGCACCUACAGAAUAAAUAUACAAAGAAGGAGAAAAGAAAAAAGACAUUAAUUCCCCCAGUAUCAAGAGCAGCUACUGGAAUAGUAGUAUAGCUACUUCUAUAACAAAGAUGCCUUUUUACAGUUACCAUUACACAAAAAUUCUGGUUUGUCAAGUAGAAUUUAAUUGAUCAUUUAUUUUCAAUAUUAGUUGUAUGAAGUGUUACCAUUUUAAGUGGUUCUCAGUACAUGUUUAAUUAUCUCAUUAAUAUGUAUCAAUUAUAGUAACAAUAAUGAAGUCAUUUAAUUAAUUUUUAUCUGCAAUCAACAUUUGCACCAUGCAUAUUGAAAUACAAAAAUAUAAUAUACUGAAUUACAAAAUGUUUGUUCAGAAUAAUAUUGAGAAAUUUUGUUAAAAAACACUUUAAAAUUUUAGGAUGUAAAAUACAUAAAUAAUAUUGUAUAUUCAUGUAAUAAUUAUACUCUCAUUCCCUAUAUAGAUGUUUUCUUUUCAAUGAGUCAACAAAUUCAUUUUGAUUACAAGUUACAGUUCUUUCUGUAAUUAAUUUAUAACUGAUAUUUAAUUUAGCACUUUUUUUCAUGCUUAAUAAAUAUUGUAUAUUAGCAUGGUAAUUUAAAUCAAUAUUCAAAAUCAGGUAUAUAAAACAGUAUAUAACUCAAAGUAUAUUCUUUAAAUACCCAACCCAAUUAGGAAUUUGAAGAAUAUACUUUGAUUUCUUAACAAAACCCUAUUAGAAAUAUGAAGCCAUUGUUUACUAUCAAUUUUCUUCAUUAUAUUUUUGUCAUUUUAGUUAUGAUUCUUAGUUUAAACAUUAUUUCCUCACAUCACUUUGAUGAGAACCAUAAAUUGGAAAAGACAACCAUCAUCUUCUUCACAUCGUUGUUUUAUGUUUAUAUUGGAUCAUCGGGGUUUUUUUUAGGUCAUUUGUGUGAAUUUAGAAAAGAAGCAUAGAUUAUCAAAGAAAAGCUGUAUUAGCAAAUAAAUUGGCACAAAUAAUAUUGAGAAUCCUUUUAUCACAUCUAUUUUAUGAAUCCACCGUUAACAUUAAUGGUUGCUUCAAUAUGGAGUCAGAAGCAUUGACAUGCCCAAAUCAGGUGGCCUUGAUCGAUUUUGGACAUAGUGCUGGUUAUGUUGGACUUGAGAAAUUGCAUGGUGUUAUGGAGAUGUUGACUGACUUCUCUCUCAACUGGCCCCACAUGUAAUGGUCCAAUGGAUUGAGGUCUAGAGAGCCAGGAAGCCAUGUGUCUGGGAGAACAUGAUCAUGGAGAUUGGCAUACAUUCAUGUUUGGGUUGUCCUAGUCUUAUGAGACAAUGCGGAGUCCUGUAGGAAGAUAUACAGUCUUCCAUUGCAUACUCUGCCUAAUCAGGGCCUCACAACUUUCUCCAACACCUCUCUGUAGACAGCAACAUUGUCUCUUAAGCCUUGUGAAAAGAUACGUGGAUGCAUGACAUUUUCCUUGUUGCUGACGACUCCCAGAACCAUCACAGUUACUGAGAAUUUAUUACGCAUGACUGUUGGAACAUCAUUCAGAUAUCUGUAUAACUAUGUGACAUUCCUUUGGUUUACCCUUUUGGCCCAGACUGAAGUUUUUCUCAUUGGAGCCUUUUUUUCACAUUCCAGCCUUUUGGUGUUUUAAUUCAUUCAACAAACACUUCACAUGGAUAGAACAAUUCUCACUUGUCACAUGCAACUUGUACAGGAUGUCCUCAUGCACAUCUCUUCUGAUGGUGAUUUUGAAAGCUUACGGUCCAUUGCAAUGGCUCUGAUCGAACCAUUGGGGAUUUUAUUGGUUGUUUCUUGGAUAUUUUGUACAACAUCUGUGUUCUGAUGGUAUUAGGACAUUUUGUAUGUGUUUUACAUUAAAGUACAUUUUCUUAAAGUGCAAUAUGGUUGACUCAAAAUUACUCAAAAUGUCAGUCCUCUUCCACAAAAGUAAGGAGAGAUCAUAUUUUAUAACUAUUAUCUAUUAUAACCCAUAUAAAUCCUGUAACUGCAUGUUCAAAAACAUUUAUAAUGAAAGGAAUUAUAUCACCAGAGCUGUAUCAAAACACUCUUUUAAUAACAGCUUCACCCAUCUCCCAAAUGCUACAGACAUAAAAUACACAUUAUGCAUCAAAGUCAUUUCAAUAUCAAUAAUUACAAUAAGGUACGGAGCUGACAGAAUUGUUAGCAUACCAGGCAAAAUGCUUAGUGGCAUUUCAUCCAUUUUCACAUUCUAAAUUCAAAUUCUGCCAAGGUUAACUUUGUCUUUCUUCCCUUCAGGGACAUUAAAAAAAGUAUUGAAUACUGAGAUCAAUGUAGCCAACUUACCCAUCCCCUAGAAUUGCUGGCCCUGUGCCAAAAUUUGAAACCAUUAUUAAUAAUAACAUAAGGUGGUGAGCUGGCAGAACCAUUAGCAUGCCAGGCAAAAUGCUUUGCAGCAUUUCCUCUGUAACUGAGUUCAAAUUCUGCCGAGUUUGACCUCUACAUUUCAUCCUUUUGGGAUUGACAAAAUAAGUAGCAAUUGGCCACGGUGGUUGAUUACAUCAACUUACCUCCUUCCUCUGAAAUUACUGGCCUUGUGCCAAAGUCUGAAACAUUAAUAAUUGCAUUAUGUUUAAGAGCUGUGCUCUGUGAAUCCUUAAAAAAAAGUUAUCAAAUGAGUUUUCAGUUAUUCGGAGCAAGAUGGAUAAAAAAUAUUGAGGAAAUAUCCCUGAAGCUCAGUGUAAUUUAUGCAACCAUUGACUUAAAUUGAGGGACAUUAACCAUGUCUAUUUCACCAGUUACAAUGGGGUCUGCAAUGGACAUGGGCAAAACUUUUCCUUCUGGCUAAAAAUUAAAAAAACAACUUUUUUAAAAAUCUUUCUCAUAUUGCAGAACAGAACAAAAAAAAAACGUAAUUGGCCAAUUCUGUACUUGAAUAUAAAUAAUUGCACUUGAUUAACAACAAAAAUAAUCUAAAUGAUGUGGUAUAAUUUUAGGGAUAUGUUUCAAAUGAAGAAAUUCAUAUUAAUUUCGAUAGCAGUUAAAAAAGGGAUAUCAUUAAAAAGGCCACUAUUUCAUCAUAGAAUU
rnacentral:lncRNA from 1 species